rnacentral:rRNA from 1 species
CGGGGUGAGUAAUGUCUGGGAAACUGCCUGAUGGAGGGGGAUAACUACUGGAAACGGUAGCUAAUACCGCAUAACGUCUUCGGACCAAAGUGGGGGACCUUCGGGCCUCACGCCAUCGGAUGUGCCCAGAUGGGAUUAGCUAGUAGGUGGGGUAAUGGCUCACCUAGGCGACGAUCCCUAGCUGGUCUGAGAGGAUGACCAGCCGCACUGGAACUGAGACACGGUCCAG